ACAGGCCGUUAAGGUGCUGACGAGUGGCGGACGGGUGAGUCUACAAUAGGAACCUGCCCUAUAGUGGGGAACAACAUGGGGAAACCCAAGCUAAUACCACAUAAUUCCAAACGGAAAAAGAGGGCGAUUGUUUAUUCAAGCUCUUGCUAUAGGAAGGGCCUAUGUCGGAUUAGCUAGUUGGUGGGGUAAUAGCCUACCAAGGCAACAAUCCGUAGCUGGUUUUAGAGGAUGAACAGCCACACUGGGACUGAGACACGGCCCAGACUCCUACGGGAGGGAGCAGUAAGGAAUAUUGGACAAUGGGCGAAAGCCUGAUCCAGCAAUGUCGCGUGUGUGAAGAAGGCCUGCGGGUUGUAAAGCACUUUCAGUUGGGAUUAAAGAAAUAGGUUUAAUACUCUUAUUUUUUGACAUUACCAAAAGAAGAAGCACCGGCUAACUCUGUGCCAGCAGCCGCGGUAAUACAGAGGGUGCGAGCGUUAAUCGGAUUUAUUGGGCGUAAAGGGUGCGUAGGCGGUAAAGUUAGUCGGAUGUGAAAGCCCAAGGCUUAACUUUGGAAUUGCAUUCGAUACUACUAAGCUAGAGUAUAGGAGAGGAAAGCGGAAUUCCUAGUGUAGCGGUGAAAUGCGUAGAUAUUAGGAAGAACACUGGUGGCGAAGGCGGCUUUCUGGACUAAUAC
rnacentral:rRNA from 1 species